AUGCAAGGGCGAAAGCCCUGAUGCAGCGCACGCCGCGUGAGGGAUGACGGCCUUCGGGUUGUAAACCUCUUUCAGCAGGGAAGAAGCGAAAGUGACGGUACCUGCAGAAGAAGCGCCGGCUAACUACGUGCCAGCAGCCGCGGUAAUACGUAGGGCGCAAGCGUUGUCCGGAAUUAUUGGGCGUAAAGAGCUCGUAGGCGGCUUGUCACGUCGGAUGUGAAAGCCCGAGGCUUAACCUCGGGUCUGCAUUCGAUACGGGCUAGCUAGAGUGUGGUAGGGGAGAUCGGAAUUCCUGGUGUAGCGGUGAAAUGCGCAGAUAUCAGGAGGAACACCGGUGGCGAAGGCGGAUCUCUGGGCCAUUACUGACGCUGAGGAGCGAAAGCGUGGGGAGCGAACAGGAUUAGAUACCCUGGUAGUCCACGCCGUAAACGUUGGGAACUAGGUGUUGGCGACAUUCCACGUCGUCGGUGCCGCAGCUAACGCAUUAAGUUCCCCGCCUGGGGAGUACGGCCGCAAGGCUAAAACUCAAAGGAAUUGACGGGGGCCCGCACAAGCAGCGGAGCAUGUGGCUUAAUUCGACGCAACGCGAAGAACCUUACCAAGGCUUGACAUAUACCGGAAAGCAUUAGAGAUAGU
rnacentral:rRNA from 1 species